rnacentral:rRNA from 1 species
AGUGAACGCUGGCGGUAGGCCUAACACAUGCAAGUCGAACGGCAGCACAGUAAGAGCUUGCUCUUACGGGUGGCGAGUGGCGGACGGGUGAGGCAUACAUCGGAAUCUACUUUUUCGUGGGGGAUAACGUAGGGAAACUUACGCUAAUACCGCAUACUACCUACGGGUGAAAGCAGGGGAUCUUCGGACCUUGCGCGAUUGAAUGAGCCGAUGUCGGAUUAGCUAGUUGGCGGGGUAAAGGCCCACCAAGGCGACGAUCCGUAGCUGGUCUGAGAGGAUGAUCAGCCACACUGGAACUGAGACACGGUCCAGACUCCUACGGGAGGCAGCAGUGGGGAAUAUUGGACAAUGGGCGCAAGCCUGAUCCAGCCAUACCGCGUGGGUGAAGAAGGCCUUCGGGUUGUAAAGCCCUUUUGUUGGGAAAGAAAAGCAGCAGGUUAAUACCCCGCUGUUCUGACGGUACCCAAAGAAUAAGCACCGGCUAACUUCGUG